GCCCGGUAGCGUAGUGGUUAUCGCGCAGGUUGGGUGCAUGGUGCAGUGCAAAUACCUACGUUACAGUGUUCAUGUCAACUGUAGCACCUAGUAUUGGAUCCUUCCGAUACAGACGCCGUAGGUAUUGUACUGCACCAUCUGCCUCUCCUGAGAGCUCUGUUCGAGUCAGAGACUGGGUA